GACGAACGCUGGCGGCGUGCCUAAUACAUGCCAGUCGGGCGGACCGAACGAGGGCUUUCUCUUGUUUGGUCAGCGGCUGACGGGUGAGUAACACGUUUGCAACCUGCCCGCAAUACCGGGAUAACUCCGGGAAACCGGAUCUAAUACCGGCUAACACCGAAGACCGCAUUGUCUUCGGUUUAAAGGCGGCCUUUGGGCUUUCACUUGCGGAUUUGCCCGCGGCGCAUUAGCUAGUUGGUGAGGUAACGGGUCACCAAGGCGACGAUGCUUAGCCGGCAAGAGAGGGUGAAAGGCCAAAAUGGGAAGGAGAAACGGCCAAGAAAAAUACGGGAGGCAGCAGUAGGGAAUAAUGCGCAAAGGGGGAAAGACAGACGGAGGGAAGACGGGGGAGAGAAGAAGGACAUAGGGUCGGAAAGCUAGGUUGUGAGGGAAGAAGGAGCGGCGGUCGAAGAGGGCGGAGCAGUGACGGUACCUAAAGAGAAAGCCCCGGCUAACUACGUG
rnacentral:rRNA from 1 species